rnacentral:rRNA from 1 species
UACGUAGGGUGCGAGCGUUGUCCGGAUUUAUUGGGUUUAAAGGGUGCGUAGGCGGGUUGAAAAGUCAGCAUUCAAAUACGAUAGCUUAACUAUUGGCCGGGUGUUGAUACUUUCAGUCUUGAAUCGGCUCGGGGCAGAUGGAAUUUGUGGUGUAGCGGUGAAAUGCAUAGAUACCACAAGGAACACCGAUCGCGAAGGCAGUCUGCCAGGGCUUGAUUGACGCUGAGGCACGAAAGCGUGGGGAGCAAACAGG